rnacentral:lncRNA from 1 species
AGAGCAUUCCCCGGUGAAUAAAUAUAUACAGAUACUUCGGGGCAUUACCUAGCCAAAUUAUACAAUUGAUUCAAAAGUGAUAAAAUCAAACCAUUCAAUCAAAUUUCAAACAUUCAAUCAACCCACAAUCACUAGAUUUGCCUACCCAACCUAGGUCUUUCCUAUUCAAUCAGCGUAUCUUGAUACUACCAAAUUCAAUUAACGUUUAUUUCAAGUCAAACAACUAAUGAAUCAAACUAAUCAAAAUUCACUAAUUAUAUCAAGUUUUCAAUUCUCGCCCCACUUAUUCUUAAUGAUUAAACCAAUUCUAUACACAUUUUAUCAAUCAAGUUUUCAACUUCAAAUUCAACAUCAAACCAACAAACAACGAUAAAAUUCAAUCAUGUCAAACACACAAAUCAUUCAUAACUAUGUGGAGAUUGAGAGGCGAAAGGAUAGAAUUGGACCUCAAGUGUUUUCGAUUGACUUAAAGGGAGAAGUAAGAGUCGUUCUGAGAGCCUCAACGGGUACCAAAUCUCAAAUAUGAUCCAACUCCAACACGGAUAUCUCCAGAAUCCGAUUCAAACUCAAAAAUAGUGAACACCCAAAAUAAAAUACGAACAAAACCGAGACUGGAAGACGAAAUUCACCAGGACUAAACUGAAUCUCUCCAGAAUUAGAUUGAACCUCACCGUAAUUAGACCCAAAACCGGUCAAGUCGACUGAUUCGAGUUAGGUACCAUGGUCAAAAUCCAUAGUUACCUCUCCGUCAGAACUCCGGUGACGGUGACCGAAACAAGAAGAAAGAGAACACAACAAUAUUUUUUGGUGGAAAGAGGCUAUUUCUUGGCCACGAAUGCCGAACCUGUUAAACCUCAGUCCCUUUUCUCUCCUCUCUUGCUUAGACAUCUCUCCUAUUCCAUUCACUCUAUCCCCUAUCGAUCCUCAUCUCUAUCCUCCUUCUCGAUUUCACUGUUCCUCCCUACGAUUCACCUCGCCUUUCACUAUUUUUCACCCCUUUUUAUGUGUUUUUUUAUAUGGGUGUGCGUGUGUAUGGCUAUAUUUGAGAGUGGAAUGGUGAGUUAUGUUUGUGUUAUUCUGUGUGUAUGCGUGAUUUCCUUUUGUGAAGAAGGAAGGAAGGUUUUUGUCUUUUGUGUCCCUCCUAGAGAGAGAAAAUAAUGGUAUCUACCUCUUCCCCCCCCUCCCCCCGAAAAAGGAAGUUCUGGGCGUAUAUAUGUUAGAAUGAAAAAUGGGGAAUCAAUUUUUCUUUUGCUGUGGGGCCCGUGAAUUUUAUUCCUUGGGUUCCUUUUUUGUGUGUUGAUGUGUGGGACACGUGAGUGGGGUGUGGGGGUAAGGGUAGGGUAGGUGAGGUAUGGGUAUGGGGUGGUGAGAUAUGAGGUGUCCACUUUUAAUUGGAUAGGUUGUUAGGAUAAGAUAAAUUAGUUAGAGGUAUUGUUUUUGUUUAUUUUUAUAUUUUUGUGGGAUAUAAUUACAUGGGGUUGGACACAUGGUAAGGUGAACUAAAAAUGAAUAAAAUUAGACUUUGGGAGGGAUAAAAUUAGGUGUCUACAUCAUGCCCCCUUUGAAUGUAAACAUGAAGUGUUUUCAGACAAAGAAGUAGACAGAGAGAUCCGACCAUUAUUCCAAGAAAGAAACAGAAGGAAGAAGGACAACCGGGUCUUAACUUAAGACAUCCUACCUACCCAAGUUAUGAGAGAAUCAAGUCACGGGUAUUUCAAAGGAUUGGAAAGAGAAGGACUAUGCUGAGUUGGUGAGUCGAGUGAGGUUCCAUCGAGGUUCCAGUCCACUGCUCUGUUAUUACAUCAAAAAUGAAAAUUACAAGUUAAAAACAUAAAAGAAAUUACAAAAUCCUAUCUAUGCAGCUUCUUCUGGACUUUUGACUUGAGUUUUAUUACCCUAUUCUUCAGGCAGGCUCCUGACUUUCACUUUCAUCAACUUGUUGUUUGGCUUUCAAUUGUUUCACGUCGUUGCUUAACUUUCAAUUUCCUCACCCUGUUCUUCAGGCGUGUUCCUGACUUGAUAUUUUUCAAUCUGCUAACUUUCAACUUUUCACGUUGUUGCUUUGUUUUCAAAUUCUUCACCUUGUUGCUUGACUUUCAACUUCUUCACUUUGUUUCUUGACUUUUCAUUUCUUCACCCUAUUCUCCAGGUGGGUUCCUGACUUGCUAUUUCAUUAACUUGUUGCCAUGCUUUCAACUUCUUCAUCCUUUUCUGCAGGCGGGCUCCUGACUUGCUAUUUUUCAAUCUGUUUAACUUUAAAUUUGUUCACCUUGUUGCUUGGUUUUCCAUUUAUUCUCCCUGUGCUUUGGGCAGGCUCCUGAAAUCACAUCAAAACUAAAAAGAAAAUUAUCCCAAACAAAUAUUAUUAUAAAGAGGUUUUAUUUGCCAGAAAAGUAAAGUUUCAAAAACAGAAAUUGAAUUUUAUCCCUUGUUUAUCAUCAGAAGACUUUUGGAAAAGUCACAUCAUACUUGCAUGUUGCAAUAAUGAAUCAAAACUCUGACCAAGAAAUGCAUCUCUUGAGAGUACAAUUGAAUAAGCAAGACUAGGAAGUGUAUCUCCUAAGAAUUAAAGUGAGGGAUUCUAACUAGAAAGUGUGUCUUCUAGAGAUACAAGUUUAAGUUAAAAGUGUGUCACCUGACAAAUGAAAACUAGCAAGGAAGUGUGUCUCCUAAGGAUUAAGUGCAAUAAAUCAACUAGAAAGUUCAUUUUCUAGAAAUCAAGACUCAAGUUAGGAAGUGCAUCACCUAAAAAUCAAAAUUCGAAAUACGCAAUCAAGGAAGUGCAUUUCCUUACCAAUGUUGCUUAAAUUAUCAAAACGAGGAAGUGCAUCACCUAAAAAUCAAAAUUCGAAAUACCCAAUCAAGGAAGUGCAUAUCCUUACUAAUGUUACUUGAAUUAUCAAAACAAGAAAGUGCAUCUCCUUACCAAUGCCGCUUGAAUUACUCAAACAAGGAAGUGCGUCUCCUCACAAAUGCUUCUUGAAUUAACCAAACAAGGAAGUGCAUCUCCUUAGAAAUGUUUUCAUGAAAUAACCAAACAAGGAAGUGCAUAUCCUUAGAAAUGUUUUCAUGAAUUAACCAAACAAGAAAGUGUUUGUCCUUACAAAUGUUGCUCGAAUUGCCUAAACAAGGAAGUGCAUCUCCUUACAAAUGUUGCUUGAAUUAACUGAACAAGGAAGUGCAUCUCCUUACCAACACCGCUUGAAUUACCAAAAUAAGAAAGUACGUCUCUUAACAAAUUUUGCUUGAAUUAACCAAUCAAGGAAGUGCGUAUCCGUACAAAUAUCGAACGAAUUACCAAAUAAGAAAGUGCAUCUCCUAACAAAUGCCUCUUGAAUUACUCAAACAAGGAAGUAUGUCUCCUCACAAAUGUUUCUUGAAUUAACCAAAUAAANNNNNNNNNNNUACAAAUGUUGCUUGAAUUAACCAAACAAGGAAGUGUAUCUCCUUACCAACACCGCUUGAAUUACCAAAAUAAGGAAGUGCGUCUCCUAACAAAUUUUGCUUGAAUUAACCAAUCAAAGAAGUGAGUCUCCUUACAAAUGUUGAUUGAAUUACCAAAUAAGGAAGUGCAUCUCCUAACAAAUGUCUCUUGAAUUAAUCAAACAAGGAAGUGCAUCUCCUCACAAAUGUUUCUUGAAUUAGCCAAAUAAAGGAAGUGCAUAUCCUUACAAUAUUGCUUGAAUUGUCCAAACAAGUAAGUGCUUCUCCUUACCAACAUCACUUGAAUUACAAAAACAAGGAAGUAUGUUUCCUAAUAUAUGUCUCUUGAAUUUCUCUAACAAGGAAGUUCAUCUCCUUACAAAUGUUGUUUGAAUUACCAAACCAAGGAAGUGCAUCUCCUUACAAGGAAGCGUGUCUCCUAGAAAUCUUUAAUUAUGAAUUUUACCAGGGCUUUGAAUACCAAAUAUGUGCAGAAAUAUUGUCUCCUUCAUUUGUGGAAGUGCGGUAUUGCAACUUUCGAUGUUUAGGCUUUGAAAUCCUUGAUUCGAAGGUAACAUGUGUUCCUCUUUCAUAUAAAGAAAACUUGUUAGUUUAAAAACAUGGUGGCUGGUUUGCGGUUUUGGCUUUCGUGGAAAUUGCUCUUGCCCCAGUUGUAUUUAAUCUUGCUUUCAACCAUUAACAUGUGUCACUGUCUUGCUGUAUCAAUGACCCGAACUCAGAUUAUUAAGAGUGACUCUUAAACAAAUACAGUAUCCUUGCUUUGUCAUGCUUCUCAGAUAAACCCUUUAAACCUUGGUAUUUCCAUGAGUUCCCAGACUUGUCGGUUGACAAAACUUUCUGCAUGCCUUGUUUUGGCUCACAAUCAUGUCUUUAGCAUGUGCUGACCCCUUUGUCUUGCUUUGUGUAAUUGAAGAAGCUGGUAGCCAGUUUUGAAAUAUUUCUCACUUAUUUUGACAUGAACUUGACUCAAAGACAAGAGAAAAAUGACAAUGACUUUUAUUUGGACAAUUGACUCAUAAAAACAAAAUAAAAAUAAAGAGAAGAAAGAAAAGACAAUGAGUGUCCCCAUUUGAAACAAAGAAAUGAAAAUUUUUUCUAGACAUGACAGUCAACUCUAAUGAUUAUGCCUUGCAUUUUGGAUUAAGCUACCUAAUCUUUCCAUCCAAACUUUCUACCAAUUGUUGUUGAGUUAAUGGCCUUGAAACUGAGUUGCUCUCUUAGGACAAUUGCAUUCAGACCUCAUUCGGCUAGUGAUGCCUUGAAGGGUCUUUUCCUAAGCUCACCAUUGUCUUAUGGUGUCUGUGAGGUUUUUUACUAAUGAGACUCUCUUAUUCUCAUUUCUCCCAACUCACAAUUGUCUCACGGUGCCCAUGAGGGUUUUCACCAGUAAGACUCUCUUAUUUUUAUCUCUGUCAACUUACUAUCGCCUUACGGUGCCUGUGAGGAUUUUCACCAAUAAGACUCUCUCAUAUUUUAUUUCUCUCUUGAUUCCUUAUGCUGAGAAACACAAGUAGUUUCCAAAAUGCGUCAUCAUAUCCAUUGCAUGCUUAGCCUUAACAUUCUUAAAGAUUGAUCUAAAGGUCUUUCUUUGAUUGUAACUUGUCUUUUGGAUAGGGUUAGAAAGAAAAGAUGGCAUGAGGCCCAAACGACACUUGAAGUGGGUUAGAACUUACAACUUUUGGAAUCGACUCAAAUAAAUGAGGAUUAACUCAUGCCCCAGUUUCUUUUGACCGGAUGAUUCUAAAUUGUUUAUUUAGUUGGACCAAGCCCUCUUUUUUUGGAAACAUUUUUGUCUCUUUUUUGAAACUUUUUGACUUUAUCUUUUUACUCGACACUAUUCUUUGAACUUUGCUUACUCUAUCUUGAUUCCAAAAGAGGGGUAUGAAAGAAAAUAACACUAAGGCUCAAAUGGGGUAAACAAAGGAUGACACAAUGUUUGCAUAGCAGAAUGAAAUGCCUUCAUCAUAUCAAUCCUUGAGAAUGCAAGUACAUAACAUACAAUUGGAAGUGAGAGAUGAAGAUCAUUUGCGACAUCUUUUUAAACAGAUUGAGUCUGUGUGUCACUACUUCUUCUAUAAACUCCACCUUUGUUGUACAUUCCUCAUAUCAAAUGACUCAUACUUUCGUGGAGCAGCUUAUCUUCUUGUUUCUCUUGAUAUAGCGAUCACACAUCCACUAUUUGACCUAAUUGGGACUUGCCUUUCGAUCGAUGACCAAGUUGUUCUUGUGAUUCUCAAAAUAAUUGCCUUAACUUGUCACCAAAUGUCUCAGCNNNNNNNNNNNNNNNNNNNNNNNNNNNNNNNNNNNNNNNNNNNNNNNNNNNNNNNNNNNNNNNNNNNNNNNNNNNNNNNNNNNNNNNNNNNNNAAACAACACAUAUUUAAAACACAAAGGAAAAUGAGACUCUUCAUUUAGUCAAAACAAAAGAUAAAAGGGUUUGAACAUAAACAACAAAAGGACAAAACAAGACAGAUCCCGAACUACAACCCUGAAAUAAUUCAGAGAACAAAAAAUAAAACAAAACAAGCUACCAAACCCCUUUCUACUAAGGAGAGAGAUGACUUCUCAAUUGCUCAGCCUGAUAUCUUAGCCACUGGUUUGCAUAUCAGCAUGACUAUAGUUUUGCUCACUGUCAAUGUUCUGCACCAUGAUUGAUUUAUCUUGAAUAAUCUUUUCAAUUUCUCUUUUCAAAGCACGACAAUCUUCAAUACUGUGACCCUGAACAUCAUAAUGAUAUGUACAUCGUACAUUAGGAUCAAAACUUCUUGAAUGUGGGUUAGGAGUAUAACCAAGGAGAGAAGUGAUCAUGCCUUGCUGUACCAAUCUCUAGAAUAAACUUGCAUACGACUCUCCAAUGGGUGUGAAGCUAUCCCUCAACUUCUGUCUCAUUUCAUUAUUUGGCCUAAAUUGAAAACCAGGCCUAGAAGGGCUUCGGUAUGUAUGUGGAGUUGGAGGAUAACUCGGCAGAGUUGGCGCGCGCCAGUGUGGGUAAGAUGAGGGUUGAACAUAUGGUUGCGCAUUAUAAACUUGAUAUGGAGAUGGGGGAAUGGAAUAUAAUGGAUUUUGGGAAGGAUUCUGUGGAACUUGGGCCAUAAACUUGGGUUUGAGCCCGGAGGUAACGAUGGUAUGGUCCUCUUGCCCGUGCCUUUUGUCCAACUAUAAUAGCAGAUGCAUCUUCCUCAUUCUUCUUUCCUUCAACACUUCCCGAACCUUUUUGAAUUGGUUGAGUAGUAGCUUUCAAUGUUGCAAAACUCACAAUGCGAGCGGUCUUAAUUCCAUCCUCUACAAUCUCCCCUAUUUUGAGGACCUCAAUAAAUGGCUUGCCUAAUGUAGGUAAAAAGUAUUGAUAAUAUGUUUCAUCUUGCGCUUGAAUAAACACCUCCACUAUCUUGCUUUGUUUCAUUGGCGGUUUUACUCUAGCAGCUUAUUCGCGCCAUCUGAUCGUAUACUCCCUGAAACUCUCAGUAUUCUUCUUUUUUAUACUAGUUAGGGAUUUUUUGUCAGGUCAACUCCACAUUGUAUUGAAAUUGUUGCACAAAUCCGUUAGCUAGGUCAUCCCAACUAAUCCACUUGUCAAUGUCUUGAUCAACAAAUCAUUCCGAAGCUAGGCCUGAAAGACUCUCCCCAAAAUAAGCCAUGAGUAGUUCUUCCUUUCCUCUAGUGCCCCUUAGCUGGUAGCAAUAGCGUCUCAAAUGUGCUACAGGAUCGCCAUGUCCAUCAUACUUCUCAAACUUCGGCAUUUUAACACCAAGAGGAAGAUGUACACCUGGAAACAUGCACAGAUCUUUAUAUGACACUUUUGUACCCCCCAAGUCCUUGCAAUUUUUUAAUAGUCAGUUCCAAACUUCUCAAUUUUCUGGCUAUUUCCUCUUGUUCUUCUGUCAUAACAGGAUUCUCAGUGUUAGGAGGAAAUUCAGGUGGUUGAAGGCAAUCGUAAGGACCAGUCGACUUAAAUGUGGGCUCGGGAGCGUAAUGCUGAUCACUAAAAAUAUUCAAUACACGGUCGCCUCUAGAGUGAGGAAUCACAACCAUUGGAUUGACAUUAAUAGCAGGAGCUCCAGACGGGAGUGGGGCUGCAAAAACAUGAAUAGCAGGUGGAGCCGAGCAUGUGGUAAUUUUGUAUUGAGGAGUGAGGAAAUGAAUAUUGGAAGUGUUUGGAUAUUGUUGCCCCGGAGUAGGUCCUGAUGCAUGUCGUGGCAUGUCGACCAAAAUAGGAAAUUGUGCAUGUGACACUAGAGGCAAACUAAAAAGAUAUUCCAGAUUAUCUGCGGGAAAUAGAGGAGGCGGCAACCCAUUAGCCCAAGCUCGAUGCAUUUCUAUCAUUUGUUGCCUCAAUUUCCGAAUCUCUUCAUUAGCUCCUACAUUCUCAUUCCCCAAACUCCCUAUCUGAUUAGUGACAACAAACUCGGUAUCCUUGUUGGCCAUAACUUUCUCUGUGACUUGGAGCAAUAUGGAGGACCAGCCAAAAUGCUACAAACCAACCACCUUAAAUUAACUAGACAAGAGAUAAUAAAUGCGUUAGAGUUCAACGAUUUUUCAAAACCUCUUCUUUUUUUUUUCUUGAAAAAAAUCACCGAACCCUAGAAGGGCGCCUACGUAUCUCACCCCGAAAGGGAAGAAUCAGGUGUGCGUAGUUCGUGAAGUUUUUUCAAAAUGGCCAAUUAAACUCUUUUUUCUUUCUUGAAACAACGUGUCAAAAGAAUUGACGAAUUAUAUUUUUUUUCAGUUUAAAUCUCUAUACAAAAUGAAACCUGUGAUUACCAAAGAAAAAUCUUUUUGGGUUUUCGAUUUUUGAAUUUCAUGUGAAAAUUAAACUUGAACCUAUUAAAGGAAAAUCUUUUUGUAGUUUUCUUUUAAAGACGUAUAUGAAACGCCUACUCUAAAUGGAGAGUGAAGAAAUAUUUUUGGAUUUUUCAAAUAAGAUUCCCGAACCAACAAUAGGCUGUCUACGUAUCUCACUCCCAAAAGAGGAAAAUCAGGGGUGCGUAGUUCGUCCAUAUUGGACAAAUAAAGAUUAACUAACAGACUGAUCCUAACUUAAGAGACACAACCAAAGACCGAAGAAUAAAAUAAAAUAAAAUAAAAUAAAAUAAAAUAAAAAUUGGGUUUUAAUUUGACACCAACAACUAUGAAAGAAUUUUUUUUUGAAAUUUUCAAAUUAUGAAUGCGUGGUAAAGGAAUAAAAAGAUUUUUUUUUUUUUUGAUAUUUUCGUUAUAUGAAAUGUACAAAACUUCUACCAAUUUUUUCAUUAUAUUUUUUUUUACAUUUUCCUUUAUAAAACCUCCUAUUGUAAAAACAAAUCUUUUUUUCGAAAUUUUUGAAUUGUGAAAAACAAAAGCCAUAAAGAACUCUAAAAACUACAAAACUCUUUUUAGGACUAAUUUUUUUCUUUUUCUUUUUUCUUUUUUUUUUUUCACACACUUUACUUUCUAACACAUGCUUUACCCCACAUCAUUCUGUCAAAUGACCACAUUAUCCUCAAAGAUGCAACAUUUAGCACGUACGAAUGCUUUAGAGGUAAGUCUCCUACAAAGGACCCAGUGGACCCGCUAGGUCUCAAUAUGAUGCACAUAAGCAUGACCUAAAGGCUGACCCACGUUGGGGUUCACUAAUAAGGCCGUUCGAGGGAGCGUAUGGUCGAUAGUGUCUGCUUAGAUUUUCAUCUACUCCAUACAUCCAACGGCUCCCCCCUAAAAUAAAGGUGACUCAACUAGAGUUCGUGCGCACGACGUGCGCUCCGAGACUUGUUGCAGAAAGAAUUGACUCGGGUUAUGCAAAUGAUGUCAGAUAUAAAGCGGUAACACAUAAGGAAAACUGUAAACAAAGAGCACAGAAACACACAACAGUGAUAACAAUAACACAAACAAUAUUCACAAACAAUGUUUAUACACCCAUAAUGCCAAACAAAGUUGAUACGACUCCAAAAAUAAGCCCAAAUUCUGCAACAUCCUCAGUGGAGUCGCCAGAGCUAUCACACCCCUUUUUCAUACUCCAAAAGAUUAAUUUUUAAGUUCGAAAGGGUUUUUUUUAUCAAGUGACAAAAAAUGAAAAUUCUAUUCCGUAAAGGAUUUUUUUAUAAUUAAAUUUAGAGUAGCCACUUGGCAUAAUCCGGUGUGCCAAGUCACCUUUGGAAAAUUCUUUUCGAAAUGGUUUGACUCUUUAAAACUAGUUUGCAAACAAAGAUUCCGGCUAAGGAAUUCUAUUGACCAAGGGGAAGGUGUUAGGCACUCCUCGAUCCCGUGGUUUGACCACGGUCGCUUGGCGGAGCGUAUAGGCUAAUUUGACAUUAUGAAUAUAUAAACCACACAAAACAUGCAAAACAAUCAAUCAAGCAAACAAGAUAANNNNNNNNNNNNNNNNNNNNNNNNNNNNNNNNNNNNNNNNNNNNNNNNNNNNNNNNNNNNNNNNNNNNNNNNNNNNNNNNNNNNNNNNNNNNNNNNNNNNNNNNNNNNNNNNNNNNNNNNNNNNNNNNNNNNNNNNNNNNNNNNNNNNNNNNNNNNNNNNNNNNNNNNNNNNNNNNNNNNNNNNNNNNNNNNNNNNNNNNNNNNNNNNNNNNNNNNNNNNNNNNNNNNNNNNNNNNNNNNNNNNNNNNNNNNNNNNNNNNNNNNNNNNNNNNNNNNNNNNNNNNNNNNNNNNNNNNNNNNNNNNNNNAACGUUUAUUUCAAGUCAAACAACUAAUGAAUCAAACUAAUCAAAAUUCACUAAUUAUAUCAAGUUUUCAAUUCUCGCCCCACUUAUUCUUAAUGAUUAAACCAAUUCUAUACACAUUUUAUCAAUCAAGUUUUCAACUUCAAAUUCAACAUCAAACCAACAAACAACGAUAAAAUUCAAUCAUGUCAAACACACAAAUCAUUCAUAACUAUGUGGAGAUUGAGAGGCGAAAGGAUAGAAUUGGACUUUUAGAUUGACUUAAAGGGAGAAGUAAGAGUCGUUCCGAGAGCCUCAACGGUUACCAAAUCUCGAAUAUGAUCCAACUCCAACACGGAUAUCUCCAGAAUCCGAUUCAAACUCAAAAAUAGUGAACACCCAAAAUAAAAUACGAACAAAACCGAGACUGGAAGACGAAAUUCACGAGGAUUAAACUGAAUCUCUCUAGAAUUAGAUUGAACCUCACCGGAAUUAGACCCAAAACCGGUCAAGUCGACUGAUUCGAGUCAGGUACCAUGGUCAAAAUCCACAGUUACCUUUCCGUUGGAACUCCGGUGACGGUGACCGAAACAAGCAGAAAGAGAGCACAAUAACAUUUUUUGGUGAAAAGAUGCUAUUUCUUGGCCACAAACGCCGAAAUAGUUAAACCCCAGUCCCUUUUCUCUCCCCUCUUGCUCGGACAUCUCUCCAAUUCCAUUCACUCUAUCCCCUGUCGAUCCUCAUCUCCAUCCCUCUUUUCGAUUUCACUAUUCCCUCCUACGAUUCAUCUCACCUUUCACUAUUUUUCACCCCUUUUAUGCGAUUUUUUAUAUGGGUGUGCGUGUGUAUGGCUAUAUUUGAGAGUGGAAUGGUGAGUUGUGUGUGUGUUAUUCUGUGUGUAUGCGUGAUUUCUUUUUGUGAAGAAGGAAGGAAGAUUUUUGUUUUUUGUAUCCGUCCUAGAGAGAGGAAAUAAUGGUAUCUGCCUCUUUUUCCCUCCCCCCCCC